UCCCUCAUUGCCCUCGUGGCUUGGUCCCUCUGGAAGCACCGUAACGCUGCGGUUUUUGACAAUGCCCGACCUUCAUGCGAUGAUCUACAGUGCACCAUCCGUGACGAGGCUCGACUUUGGGCUCGCGCAGGUGCCAUAGGCUUAGGGUUUAUUAUCCCCGCAUUGUAA
rnacentral:rRNA from 1 species